rnacentral:misc_RNA from 1 species
GAAAUGCGAUAAUUAAUGUGAAUUGCAGAAUUCAGUGAAUCAUCGAGUCUUUGAACGCACAUUGCGCCCCCUGGUAUUCCGGGGGGCAUGCCUGUCCGAGCGUCAUUGCUGCCCUCAAGCACGGCUUGUGUGUUGGGCUUCAGUCCCUGGCAACGGGGACGGGCCCAAAAGGCAGUGGCGGCACCAUGUCUGGUCCUCGAGCGUAUGGGGCUUUGUCACCCGCUCCCGUAGGUCCAGCUGGCAGCUAGCCUCGCAACCAAUCUUUUUAACCAGGUUGACCUCGGAUCAGGUAGGGAUACCCGCUGAACUUAAGC